UUCUCCAUCCGCCGCCAGCAUGCCCCACCUCUCCUCGGCCCCGUCAUCCGCCUCCACCUCCCCACCUCCACCUCUCCGCCCAAGAUCCAUGGCUACCGCGGUUGCACCGGCCCGAUGGAAGCGGCGACCAACCCUAGCCCCUAUGGCGCGCCUCUGCUGCUCACGACCUGGGCCAUGGAUCUGCGACAGGGGCCUCCCUCCUCCUCCCAAGCAGCGUAACUGCCUUGCAAUCUGAAGAUUUGGAGUAGCAAGCGCCGGAUGAGGAGAGGAUGAGGACCAUGACCCGUGGGAGGCCCGAGCUCAAUCUCUCUGGCGACGUCAAUGACCCGCACAAGAUCAGCAAGACCUCUCCGCCUCUUCACUUCAAUGGAAGUGGACCACCGGGACCACACACUCCAGCUCCACGAGCUGGACGAGCUCGAUGGCCAGGUCCUCCGCCCCGACCACCAUGAUUCCGCAGAGAACAAUAAGGUUGACCCCUUCUCGCUCUGUUUUUUCUUUUCUUUCUAAGUGAUUGCUACUCUGCUGGAACGUAGUUCUCCAGGGGCUAUCCUUUUCUCUUGGACUGAACCUGAGACAGAAAAUGUGGCCACUUUGUUCCUGGUACUCGUAAGCUACAGCCAACAAUAGACUAGUAUUGUUUGCUACUUCCUUUUUUCUUCUCUCACCAUGCGAGCACUAGUAGUGUAGAAUUUGUGAGAUCCGCUAGUUAGUUAAGCAACUAAUAAUUUAAUAAUUAAGUGCCCAUGAGAUGCUUCUGUUGGUUCCUUGGAUUUUUCUUCUUGUGGAAUAAAAGUAAUCCAUUAAUCUCACUCAAUCGUUUGACCAAGAGUAAGAUUGUUAACUAGGGCUGCUAUUACACUGCUUCUCUCUUAUAUAUUUGUGCAAACUUUCUAUCUGAUAUCAUCAUUUUGUUGAUCAGUCCUCCUCUCCUACUCUUGCUCUUGCGCUAAUUACGUACAAGUUUAGUGUCAGAUCCGUGAAAUGUACUUAAUACCAUCAUUUGGUUGCAGCAAAUAUUACAUAUUUUGUUCAUUGCACCUUGUCGUACUCACCAAUAUGGUAUUAUUUGCUGCCAUCUUGGAUUGUAACAAUUGGGUUUAUUUACUAUUAAUCUUUAAGAUUUUUCUCAUGCUAGUUUUCUUGUUUUUCUAGCCUGAACAAACUAACAUUGGUUUUCAUGGAGACAAAAUGAGAAGCGGAUUCAUUGAGGUAUUGGCUAUACAACAGAGGCUUCCCAGCAAUGGCGAUCCAUGGUGACGAAACACAGGAGGAUAUAUAGAAGUGCAUUUGUCUACAAACCUUUUCUAUUCUUCAUGGGAAUGGAGCUGAGCAUGUGAAAGCUUUAAAUCUUGCGCUCAUUUCUGUAUGAAUGGGUAGUGGGCUACAUAGUGCUACCCAACAUAAUCCGCGCCAUGACAUGAUGUGAUUGCCAUCAGGAGAGUUGACGAAGAACCUGAACAACAGCCUCGAAAGAUUAUAUGUUUUGUUGAUGUAAACUGGAUUGUAGUGCUUCGUAACGUUGUUGUGUGAUAUAUUUAGUGAAUCUAUGUUGUAAAUGAUCAUUACAAGGUGGAUUUGUAAACUGCUAUGUUGUAUAUACACAUAGAAUUUUUUUGAGAAAAAUAUACACAUACAGUUUGCUGCA